rnacentral:lncRNA from 1 species
AGUCAUCUCUCAUUCGCAUUGGUCUCUUCUGUGUAUCUUUGUUCUUCUCUUUCCACACUCUAUCAAAACCCAAGUAAAAGAAAGCCUGAGUCUCCAGAGCAUAAUCAAGUACAACAUGGAAGCAGAAGCAAUGUUAUGAUUGUGGGAGCUGGAAUUUCUGGCCUUGCAAGAUCCUUAGGACUUCACAGGUUCUCUCUCUCUCUCUCUCUCUCUCUCUCUCUCUCUCUCUCUCUCUCUCAUGUUCAUGGUUCAUAUAUUUGUUACUAUGGUUGGAAGCAAAAUUGAAAUUUCUGGGUGCAGGCUGGGGAUUGGAAGCUUCGUGUUGGAAUCAUCUGAUAGUUUGAGGACAACAGGGUUUGCAUUCACAAGAUGGAUAAAUUCAUGGAAGGCCUUAAAUUCCCUUGGUCUUGCCGAUUCUCUUCGCCAACAUCAUGUCACACUUGAUGGGUAAUUUUCUCUCCAUGCACCACUCUCUCUUGCCCUUCAACUAUCCUAACAUGUUAUGUUCUCAGACUGCCAAUCUCAACCGUCAGUUACGCAAAUACAAUCCUAACAUGUUUGUUGGUACUUACUAAGUUCUACUUUUGCACGCACGAAACUGAUUGCAGAGAUUUGAAUGUACAGGAAUGUGACUUCCUCAAGAAUUACAGGGCUUCAAACGUUUGAGAUGUCAUUUAAGGCCGAAGGAAAACAGUAAGUUUAUCAAUAGUAUAAGUGCUAAAAGUAUUUCUUACUGAUGCUUAAUAUUGGAUUUCAAUUGUUUGCUAGAGUCUAUCACUUUGCUUCUAUUUCAUUGAUUUUGUUAGUAUCAAUAUUCAAGCAUGCUCAAAUGAUUGAGAGUCUAAAUGAUGUGCAGCGGAGACCAUGAAGUUCGAUGCAUGAAAAGGAACUUGUAGUUGGAAGGCCUUGCAAAUGAACUCCCUAGUGGCACCAUCAGGUUCUCAUCCAAGGUGGUUUCCGUUGACGAAUCAGGC